GCCUCGGGGAAGGAGCCGGGCUCGCUCCGCAGCUGGCAGCUCCCAGGCGGGCCCAGGGGCGGCCCGCAGCGCCGCGCCAGGUAAAAGCGGGAAGACCUUUGGAAGACCUCAUUGGGAUGAUCCCAGCAGGAACCACCCACCCGUCUCGAUGGCCACCUGUUGAGAGAUCCACCCGACUCUAUGAAAUCUUUGCAUAUUUAAGUCCCACUUCUCUGAGCAAGACUACUACUUUGUGUUUAAAGGUACAUCUUAAGGAUCAGGUGGCUAAUGUUCGAAGUAUUGGAGAUCGAUUUAACAAGUCUCGUCUGGACGCGUUGAAUCGAUCAGCUAAUCGACGCCCGUACUCCACCUUGGCAGGAGAAGUAAGCGGAGCUGACAAGCGAGCUGCGGCAGUCGACUUGCUGCCGUGAGGACGGCCGCGUAAGUCGAACUAAGAUACUUUGACUUGAGCUACGCAAAUAGCGAAGCUGAAGUUGCAUAUCUUAGUUCGAACCCCAGAGCUAGUGUAGCCCAGGCCUGAGACUCAGCCUGCACAGAAGAUAUUUGCACCAUAGGUCUGUACACUCAGAAUGCAGUUUUGCAAGAUUUGCAUCUUAUAAUAUGAGAAGUGACAAAGAACAUGAUCUCCCCGCAGUUAUUGCCAUCUUCCUUGUUAGCCUACAGUAACCUUGUCCAACUGCAAAACCAUAAAUGUAAGAAAUUAUUCUACAUUUUUGAAGUAAAACUGCUAUAAUUCUGUCUGAAAACGCAAUCAAGCUUCAACACACUGUACAUGCAUAUUCUGAUCUUUGUGUUGAUGAAAUAAAUACUAUUUACUCUCAGAUCUCCAGGGUUGCCAUGAAUGGUAUAGUUGUAGUAAUAUCUGAAUGAAAGGCCUUCAUUACAAACAAAACAUACAGAAUAUAACUAUGUUCUUUUCAGCUCUGUGCGUUGUUCCUCUCACCUAAAAUUUCUAAUCCAAUAAUUUUCAGCCUUUCCUGUUGAACAUUUUUAGAGUGUACUGCUCUGGAUUAAGUCAUGCAUAUGUUACCUUUGACACAUUACAACACUAAAAACACUAAAAAUCAACGCAAUUUUUCACAUCACAGACUCUUAUGUGCGAUUUACAGUUAUGUAAUUGUAAUAUUACAAUCUCUAAAGAGGGAUCUGAUUCCCAAUUUCCCCUGGAAGUGUGCUGCUCUUACUCCCCAAACACAUCUGAUAAAAUACAUUAAUUCAACUGACUGCAUAAAUUUCAGGGUUUUUUAAUUCAAUCUUUAAAUUACCAUAAACUGCCAGCAUCACCUUAGCUCUAAAUUGUUAAUAUGCUUGUUUUGAAGAACUUGCAGAUUAAUUUUUUUCUUAUUCCCUUAGGGGAAAUGAGAAAGAUCUCUUCAAUUACUAAAAGGUGAGCACUAAACUUCAAACACAUCAAAUUAUUUGCGAAUGAGUGAAGUGACAACUCAAACAUGUUUCAUAUUUGAUGGUGUUUUUAGCCUGUAAGAAAUUUGAUUUACAGCAGUGAAAAA